AAAAGUGAUUGCUACAAAGGUAGAACUCUACCAAGAACAAGAUCAACAGUGCCACAUUGAAUCUGAGAUAAAACAGCCCCAGCUCCAAAAUUGGAAGCGUCGGAAUCGAUAAUGAACAAGCCCUCUGGCUGGGGAAAUGACAGAAUCG